rnacentral:rRNA from 1 species
GAUGAACGCUGGCGGCGUGCCUAAUACAUGCAAGUCGAGCGAACAGAUGAGGUGCUUGCUCCUCUGACGUUAGCGGCGGACGGGUGAGUAACACGUGGAUAACCUACCUAUAAGACUGGGAUAACUUCGGGAAACCGGAGCUAAUACCGGAUAAUAUAUUUAACCGCAUGGUUCAAUAGUGAAAGACGGUUUUGCUGUCACUUAUAGAUGGAUCCGCGCCGCAUUAGCUAGUUGGUAAGGUAACGGCUUACCAAGGCGACGAUGCGUAGCCGACCUGAGAGGGUGAUGGGCCACACUGGAACUGGGACACGGUCCAGACUCCUACGGGAGGCAGCAGAAGGGAAUCUUCCGCAAUGGGCGAAAGCCGGACGGAGCAACGCCGCGUGAGUGAUGAAGGUCUUCGGAUCGUAAAACUCUGUUAUUAGGGAAGAACAAAUGUGUAAGUAACUAUGCACGUAUUGACGGUACCUAAUCAGAAAGCCACGGCUAACUACGUG